rfam:Dipodomys ordii contig_53152, whole genome shotgun sequence.
GGUGGCUCAGUGGUAGAGCGCUGACAUUGCAUGCCUGAGGCCCUGGGUUCGAUUCCCCAGCACCA